rnacentral:rRNA from 1 species
UACAGAGGGUGCAAGCGUUGUUCGGAAUUAUUGGGCGUAAAGGGCGCGUAGGCGGUGCGGUAAGUCUGCAGUGAAAUCUCUGGGCUCAACUCAGAGUCUGCUGUAGAAACUGCCGUGCUUGAGUGUGGGGAGAGGUGAGUGGAAUUCCCGGUGUAGCGGGUGAAAUGCGUAGAUAUCGGGGAGGAACACCUGUGGCGAAAAGCGGCUCACUGGACCACAACUGACGCUGAGGCGCGAAAGCUAGGGG